rnacentral:rRNA from 1 species
AUGAACGCUGGCGGCGUGCCUAAUCCCUGCAAGUCGAGCGAACGGACGAGAAGCUUGCUUCUCUGAUGUUAGCGGCGGACGGGUGAGUAACACGUGGAUAACCUACCUAUAAGACUGGGAUAACUUCGGGAAACCGGAGCUAAUACCGGAUAAUAUUUUGAACCGCAUGGUUCAAAAGUGAAAGACGGUCUUGCUGUCACUUAUAGAUGGAUCCGCGCUGCAUUAGCUAGUUGGUAAGGUAACGGCUUACCAAGGCAACGAUGCAUAGCCGACCUGAGGGGGUGAUCGGCCACACUGGAACUGAGACACGGUCCAGACUCCUACGGGAGGCAGCAGUAGGGAAUCUUCCGCAAUGGGCGAAAGCCUGACGGAGCAACGCCGCGUGAGUGAUGAAGGUCUUCGGAUCGUAAAACUCUGUUAUUAGGGAAGAACAUAUGUGUAAGUAACUGUGCACAUCUUGACGGUACCUAAUCAGAAAGCCACGGCUAACUACGUG